GACAGCAUCUCGGUAACCACUGCUAUAGUGUGGGUGCUUGUUUCCUCCAAAACUCAUACUGAAACUCAAUCCCCAAAUCAUACGUUAAUAGUAUUUGGAAGUGAGGUCUUUGGGCAGUAGUUAAGAUUAGGUGAGGUCAUAAAGGUAGGGCUCCCAUGAUGGCAUUAGUGCCUUUGUAAGAAAAGGAAGAAAAAUUCAAGUGAACAAGCUUGUUCUGUGUUGCUGUGUGAUGCUCUCCACUACGUCAUGAUCCAGAAAGAAGCCAUUACCAGAUGACAAGCAGAUGCUGACACUAUGCUCUUGGACUUCCAGAACGGGAUCAAACUCGGGACCUUGGGCUUGCGAGCUAUAUUCAUCUUUAAUGAGAUGCAGCAAACAAAGAGAAUACUGUAUAGACAAACAAUUCAAUAAAGUCAGGAAAACAAUAAAUGACCAAAAGAAGUAAUUAAUAGAGAUUGAAAUUAUAUACUAAAAAAUAAAAUUCUGGAGCUGAAAAAUAUGGUAAAUGAAAUGGUAAAAUGCAAUGUAGUACCCUCCCUACCAGUCAGAGAGGGAUGUGUCCAAGAUGGUGGAUGCUCAAACUACAGGUAGUACCAAACUUUAUGUAUACUGUUUUUUCUUGUAUAUACAUAUCUAUGAUAAAGUUUAAUUUAUAAAUUAGGGACAGUAAGCAGUUAACAGCAACAAGUAAUAGAAAAAUUGUGCACAAACUUUUCCAGGAAAAAAA